GACAUAGGUGGCAAACGUUAUCCGGAAUUAUUGGGCGUAAAGGGUGCGCAGGCGGCCGUGUGUGUGAGGCGUGAAAGCCCGGGGCUUAACCCCGGAAUUGCACCUCAAACUACACGGCUAGAGCAUUGGAGAGGGUAGCGGAAUUCACGGUGUAGCAGUGAAAUGCGUAGAUAUCGUGAGGAACACCAGAGGCGAAGGCGGCUACCUGGACAAUUGCUGACGCUCAGGCACGAAAGCGUGGGGAGCAAAAGGG
rnacentral:rRNA from 1 species